rnacentral:ncRNA from 1 species
GGGUGGUAUGUCCCAUCCCAGGCUAAAUAACGUGAGGAGACCGAUAGAUUACAAGUAGUGUGAACGAAAGAUGAAAAGAACUCUAAAACAGAGGGUGAAAAGUUCCUGAACUUGCUUAGGGUUAAGGCUAUUUAUAGUACCCGUCUUGAAACACGGAUUAGGGAGUUUAUCUGUAGUGCGAGUCUUUGCACGUUAACUGUAAAGGCGUAGAGAAAGCAACUGGCGUUUGCAUGGCUACUGAGCAUUACUGAUAGGACCCGAAAGGUGGUGAACUUUGCCUGCACAGGUUGAAGUCAGGGGAAACUCUGAUGGAGGACCGUACGGGUUAUUGAUGUGCAAAUCAUUUUUCUGAUGUAGGUAAAGGUGCGAAAGACUCAUCGAACCACCUAAUAGCUGGUUUCCUCCGAAGUUUCCCUCAGGAUAGCUGUAAUGCAUUUAGUUAAGGGGAGUAGAGAUAUGGGUAGAGGUGCAGGGAGCCUUCGGGUUCUCAACUUAUUUCCAAACUUCGAACCUCCUUGUUAGGCAUUUACCUAACUGGAAAUGCUUAAAUGAAUUAGCGUUACAAGUGGGCUCUGACCGGUAAGCGGUCAUGGCGAAAUGGGAUGAACCAUACGUCUGAAUAAGGUGCCGAAAUGUACUAUCACUGAUACCAUAAAGGGAGUCCAUGUAUUUAGACAGCAGGUCGGUGCCCCUAAAAGCAGGUAUCCGCUAAAGAGUGUGUUAAAACUCACCUGCCGAAUACUAGGGCCCCGAAAAUGAAUGGCGCAUAUAGUACUACCGAUCUCAGACAUCAGUUCUAUUGAACUGAGAGUAGGGGGAUGUGGACAUUUUUGUGAAGGUGCAAUGUGAGUUGGACUGGAAGAAUGUCUAUUACAGAUCCUAAUUGAAGUAGCGAUUAUCCAGGCUUGUAUCCUGGGGGCUGAUGAGGAGUAGGGUUC